ensembl:lncRNA
GGAGCCUUGUCAAGUACAGGUUGCUGGACCCACUCCCGCCACCUCUGACUCCAGGCUGGGGCCUGGUCGUCUGCAUUUCCAAAAAGAUUCAGACAAGGCUCAGGCUGCUGUCCAGGCAACACACCUUGAGAACCACUGGUCGAGAGAAAGUCCGAGGGUCUUUUUAAUCAUGCAUGUAUUUAUUCAGUGUGCAAAACUGAUCUCUUGAGACAUUUUUACAAUUCGGGACGUUCAUGGAGAAAGACCUUUGGAGCCAAGAGCCCUCUGGGUGGGGGCCGCCGCCUCUCCCCACCAGCACUCGCCCUCUGAGGCCUGUGCUGCUCGUCCAAGUCGGGGUGGGAGUGCUCUCAUUUCUAGGGUUAGUUUGGUUUCCUGUACCCUGCAGCCUGGGCUUUUGUCUAGAAGCCAAGCGUUUGUUUGGAGAGCUUAGAGUCAGUCUUGAUGCUCCGCACACAGAGAUGAGCAUUGUGGUAGGAAGCCAUCGGCCUGGCACGGGAAUGCCCUUUGCGUUUAUGGAGGCCCUAAGUAUCAGAGGCCCCAGACUAAGAUGGCAGUGACAUUGAGCAUGGAAAAUAAUAGAUAAUCCCCAAAUGAUGUCUCUGUGGUUUUCAUGUUUUGGGGGAUGAGAGGUGAGGGCAAAGGAUUUGCUUUUCAAAUUAUGUGUUUCUCAGGAAUCCACCACCUACACAGCAUGAGUUAUUCAUAAACUAUAGGCGCACGUGUAUGAGCAAGAUAUUUCUGAGAGAAACUGCCUAUGAUAUAAUAAACCUACAGGUCUAUGGAUAUUUUAAAAUUUGUGUGUUAUUGUCGUUAAUAUUCCCCUGGAGUGGCGCUUGAGAGGUAUUGGUCUCUGCCUCUGGUUUUUUGUUUGGCUUUGAAUUUACUGAGACUAGAAAGAGAGAAAAAAUUAUUUUUAAGGUAAUAGAUUAUAGAAUGACUUAGAUGUAGACCAUAUGAUAAGCAACCUAAAACACACAGCUUUGGAAUUCUUAAAACACAGUACUUCCUCCUUGAAAGGCUUGAUAAUCUUUGGUGGGACUGUUCGUAUGCUCAGCACAGGUUACUGCAUUCAGCUGCAGCUCAUAGGGAGCUUCAGUCUAUUUAUCCUUUGCUUUGCACGAUGCCUUGGAUGCAGAGACCUCUCUCUGUCGUUCGUUUGGUCGGGGGGCUCUGUCCAGGUUGAAGUCCUGAAGGUCAGCUACACCUGAGAAUGCUUCUCAGCCCCCACCCCCAACAGAGGACGAGUCAGGUUUUCAUGUAUCUAGACCAUGCCAGCUUCUCAUAGCCCGUGUGUAUGACAAGUACUGUAUCCGCUUUCUGUGCCAGUCAUCCAGUCUGAUUCUCUGAAACCCACGAAGGUACUGGUUAAAUGUGGUAGUUAUAUCCUAGGUAAAUAGGGUGAAUACAAUACCUCUCCUCCAAAUUAUAAAGGUAAUGGAUUUUGCAUUUUAUUGAAGGCUUCAUUAGUGACACAGUGUUUUUUUUUCAAUGCUUCAAGAAUACAGUUCUUAUCUAAACUUGUUCAGCUAACUUCAUACAGUCAUUUAGCAAAUUCAUGCAGGGUCUUAGUUUCACAAGCCUUCCAAAGGAAGGCUACAUAAAACUGAUUCCAUCCGUUUCCGUCUCUUCAAAAAGUACCAGCUGUACAGCCAUCUAUCUAAUUAAUCAUAAUUUAUGGCAAAAUUAUUAUUUUUUUCUUUGUGGUUAAUGAUACCUCAUCUGAGAAUUCUAAUGCCUAAAGAGUUUAUCCUUAAAAGUAAAAAUGACUUUGUACCAUAAAAUAACCCCAAAGCCACUCUCUAGGGUUUUUAUUUCCUUCUCUUUUUUGUCAUUUUCUUUUAAAACUUAGUUUUGGAAUUAGUUUGGCCACAUUGGUUCCUUAGAACAAGGUUUCAGUUCGGAGUCUACAAUUCCUACAUUGCGAUCAUUGUCUCAGUGAAAUUAUUUUGUUUUAAAAGAUUCAUGGUAACAAAAUGUAUUUUACUGCUACAACUAAAAUGUAUUUAUAAUAAAAUGCCU